rnacentral:rRNA from 1 species
UACAGAGGGUGCGAGCGUUAAUCGGAAUUAUUGGGCGUAAAGCGCAUGUAGGUGGACGAAUAAGUUUUGAUGUGAAAGCCCUGGGCUUAACCUGGGAAUGGCGUUGAAGACUGUUUAUCUAGAGUCGGGCAGAGGGCCGUGGAAUUUCCGGUGUAGCGGUGAAAUGCGUAGAGAUCGGAAAGAACACCAGUGGCGAAGGCGGCGGCCUGGGCCCAGACGUGACACUGAGGUGCGAAAGCGUGGGUAGCAAACAGGG